GCCAGUGUGGCUCAGUGGUUGAGCAUCAACCGAUGAACCAGGAGGUCAUGGGUUCCAUUCCCAGUCAAAGGCA
rnacentral:tRNA from 1 species